rnacentral:rRNA from 1 species
GUCUUAUUGAUAAUAAUUUUAAGUCAAUCUCUGCCCAAUGAUUUAAUUAAAUGGCUGCAGUAUAAUUGACUGUACAAAGGUAGCAUAAUCAAUUGAUUUUUAAAUGGAAUCUGGAAUGAAAGGAUUAAUGAAAUAUAUACUGUCUCAUAUAUAUAAUGUGAAUUUAAAAUUUUAAUAAAAAUGUUAAAAUUUUUUUUUGGGACGAUAAGACCCUAUAGAAUUUUAUAUAAAAUAAAUUUUAUAUUAAUAUAAAAUUUAUUUUAUAUUUGAUUGGGAGAAUUAUUAAAUUAAAAAAAUUUUAAUUUUUAUAAACUUAAAUUAAAGAAAAUUUGUUGAUUAAAAAUUUUUAAUUAUUAGAAUAAAUUACCUUAGGGAUAACAGCGUAAUAUUUUUUUAUAGAUCUUAUAGAAAAAAAUGAUUGCGACCUCGAUGUUGAAUUAAGAUAUAUUUUAAAUGUAGAAGUUUAAUAAUUAAGUCUGUUCGACUUUUAAAAUCUUACAUGAUUUGAGUUCAAAUCGACGUGAGU